AUGGAGUCGUUCAUGAACGCAGGCUCCGCGCCAGCCCCAUCCGCGGCGAGGCCGCACGUCGUGCUGCUGGCCAGCCCCGGCGCCGGCCACCUCAUACCGCUGGCCGAGCUUGCGCGGCGGCUCGUGGAGCACCACGGCUUCGCGGCCACGAUCGUCACCUUCAGCGGCCUCUCCGACUCAGAAGCCCUCCCCAGCGGCAUCCCUACCUCCGUCUCCACCGUCGCGCUCCCGGCCGUCAAGAUCGACGACCUCCCCGCCGACGCCCUCCGUGGCAGCGUGCUCGUGGAGCUCAUCCAUCGCUCCCUCCCCAGCCUCAGCACCUUUCUCCGCUCCAUCGGCUCGACCACUCCGCUCGCCGCGCUGGUUCCGGACUUCUUAUGCUCCGCGGCGCUGCCCCUCGCGGUCGAGCUAGGCGUCCCGUGCUACGUGUUCAUCCCCAGUAGCCUCACCAUGAUCUACCUGAUGCGCCGCGUCGUGGAGCUCCACGACGACGCGGCCCCUGGCGAGUACCGCGACCUCCCGGAGCCUCUCGAGAUCCCCGGGGUCUUGUCGCUGCGCCGCGCAGACCUUCCGGUCCCGUAUCGCGACUGUAACGGGCCGGCUUACGCGCAACUGCUCCGGGGAGGCCGGCGAUACCGCCGUGCCGACGGUUUUUUGACGAACACCUUCUACGAGAUGGAACCUGCCAUGGCGGAAGAGUUCAGGCAGGCGGCGGAGCAAGGCGCGUUCCCGCCGGCGUUCCCCGUGGGGCCGUUCGUCCGGUCAAACUCCGACGAGGAAACCGGCGCGUCGGCCAUCCUAGAGUGGCUUGACAGCCAGCCGACAAGGUCGGUGGUGUACGUCGCGUUCGGAAGCGGCGGAGCGCUGUCUGCGGAGCAGACGGUCGAGCUCGCCGCCGGGCUAGAGGCAAGCAGACAGAGGUUCCUCUGGGUGGUGCGGAUGCCGAGCCUGGACGGCCGGACGUGUGCCUUCGGGGCCCGCGACGAUGACGACCCAUUGGCGUGGCUUCCCGAGGGCUUCCUGGAGAGGACCAGGGGCAGGGGGCUCGCCGUGCCGGCCUGGGCGCCACAGGUGCGCGUCCUGUCCCACCCGGCGACGGCGAUCUUCGUGUCGCACUGCGGGUGGAACUCGGCGCUGGAGAGCGCGGCGUCCGGCGUGCCGAUGGUCGCGUGGCCGCUUUACGCGGAGCAGAGGAUGAACGCCGCUCUACUGGAAGGGACCCUCGGGGUGGCGCUGCGACCGAGAGCGCGAGAGGACGGCGGCGUCGUGGCGCGCGAGGAAGUUGCGGCCGCCGUGAACGAGCUCAUGGAGGGGGAGAGUGGGCGCGCCGUGAGGCGCCGGGCCGAGGACCUGCAGCGAGCGGCGGCACGCGCGUGGUCGCCGGAUGGUUCGUCGCGCCGGGCGCUGGAGGAUGUCGCCGCCAAGUGGAAGGCGGCGCUUGGCGGGGGGAGGUAA
rnacentral:rRNA from 1 species